rnacentral:rRNA from 1 species
CCUCUCCAUUGCCGAGUGGUUCCGUAGCUGCCCAUCGACCAGACUCUCCUACUAGUCGGUGUGACCUUGACCCUGUGCCAGGUCUGAGGAUGCCCUCCGUCGUCACCCCUUAUAACGUGUUACCCGCUUUCGGACUACGUCCCUGCGGCGCACUCCCUACUGCCGGAAGCCCAACAUUUGGAGAAAGUCGUCCCUUCUUCGCUUUCACUGCCAUGGACGUCUUCUUCGCGGCCGAUUGAUGCAUGGUCGUCGGCGCCAUUAUGCAUCCCGCGUUCGCAACAGGCCUUAAUAACCCGCAUUUCUCAAGCAUCCGCCGAACAGUGCAGCCAACACUUCCGGGCCCCGAAUUGGGGCCCAGACGUCAGCUAUGCCCGUCCGAUCUCAAGCCAUCCCCUCUAGCCUUAAGGACCACAUCGCCACUUUACGCGUCUAUAGUCCUCCUUGUGGCCACCGCUUCCGCCUAGAGACCCGGCUAUGACUGCGACUCCUCGCUUUCGCACCCCUCGCUUGUCCUAAUCUAUGGGACCAUCAGGUGCGGCAUUUGCCACCCGUGAUCCACACCCGUUGUAAGGUGCAACAGGCACGGCGUCGAUUGCGUAAUUCACGGGGCG